UAAGUUUCUAACGCUGUCGCUUCUCAUUGAGCUAAAUUAAACAAAAUUGAAUAGUUAGUCAUUUCAAUUGAGCCAACAGGGCCGUGAAGAUUUAAGCUUUUCUUCAAUCGGUAGUAAGCAGCUCGUACAAU